AAACCAUGGUGGGGACAAAGUCUAAGCAUUUUCUUGAAACUUUCCCACGCAUCAUAAAGAGAUUUUCCAUCUUUCUGAGUGAACCGUGUGAUUUGGUCCCUCAAUUU
rfam:Medicago truncatula strain A17 unplaced genomic scaffold scaffold0213, whole genome shotgun sequence.